CAGAGACGCACUCGGGAAGAAGUGACAACACAGUUCCUGGGUACAAAGAUUUCAAACAGCUGAGCUGGGUGCGGGUGUGGGUAGGAGGGCCUGAGGCUGAGACGGGAAAGUGGCAGAGGCUCCAUUUGUGCUUUAAGAUUUAGGUGGCUAUUAAGCUUCAGCUCUGGGACUGGGGUCCAGGAGCAGUGCCGUGGACAGAGCCCGCCAUGCACUGAGAGGAAAAGAAUGGGCUGCUGAGACCGCCUGCUGGGUACCUGACGGAACAGAGGCAUGGCCCGGAGACGAGGGCAACACACACACCUUGAGGUUCUCCAUCCUCUUCCAGUGGAGCUGCGCGUUGGCUGCAGCCAUGGCCUCUAUCACAAAGGUGGUGGUCACGAAGCUGAGGGGGCCGAGUGCCCAGCGCCAAAGGCGGACAGGUUGGAGGAGACAGAGAGAGAAGGAAAACACCAUUGUAAGAACCGACCAGACCCACCAGCCCAGACCAUUCUCUUUUCUGAGAGCUGUUCCCUAGAGAUGGGCUUUACUUGGUAAAAAGCUUGUGGAUUCCUACCCGGUUGAGAGAAUGGAAAUGCCUAGUCCUAAACCCCUUCCUGGCCUGGGGCACUUGCUGACAACUUCAGACUAGUCCCUACGUGUGUGGGAAUCCCCGAGAAGAGCCUCAGGUGGAACCCACCCUCCCUGAAGCACCGGCUGGUGAGGCCCACACACCUGGCUCAAGGAGUAGGCGUCCCUGAAGACCUGGGGAGGUACACAGCAGGCGAGUGCCACACUUGAUCGUGCACCCAGGCGUGUGUUUAUCACCUACUUCGUGAAUUACCUUAAGUAAAUUCUAAAUUCCAAACUGAUUUCCCAUGUCACCUUAAAUGUUUGUUAGAUCUUUUUUCUGUGGCUGGGUGGUAUUUUCUCAGACAGCAAAACUUGAUGGUAAUGUUAAUAAAGCAUACAUUUAAUAGCAGGGAGGUAAACCUGCCAGGGAAGAAAUAGGCCAGCAUCACGUGAAACAUUCCAAAGCCUAGUGGAUGUCCAGGUUUUUAUCUGAUCAGGGCUGUGCAACCGCUCCACAAAGACAAGCCACCAGGAGGCCUCUGUGACCACUUUCCCCUCUCUGAAUACCCUGGCAAGGACUCACUGAGCUCGAUACGGGGUAGACAGGUGUCUUCCCACCCCCUCAGUGCCCUCAUGUUCGGGCUUCCUGGGCUGACUCCCUCCUGCU
rnacentral:lncRNA from 1 species